rnacentral:rRNA from 1 species
GCAGUCGAGCGGUAGCACAGAGAGCUUGCUCUCGGGUGACGAGCGGCGGACGGGUGAGUAAUGUCUGGGAAACUGCCUGAUGGAGGGGGAUAACUACUGGAAACGGUAGCUAAUACCGCAUAACGUCGCAAGACCAAAGUGGGGGACCUUCGGGCCUCAUGCCAUCAGAUGUGCCCAGAUGGGAUUAGCUGGUAGGUGGGGUAACGGCUCACCUAGGCGACGAUCCCUAGCUGGUCUGAGAGGAUGACCAGCCACACUGGAACUGAGACACGGUCCAGACUCCUACGGGAGGCAGCAGUGGGGAAUAUUGCACAAUGGGCGCAAGCCUGAUGCAGCCAUGCCGCGUGUGUGAAGAAGGCCUUCGGGUUGUAAAGCACUUUCAGCGGGGAGGAAGGCGGUGAGGUUAAUAACCUCAUCGAUUGACGUUACCCGCAGAAGAAGCACCGGCUAACUCCGUGCCAGCAGCCGCGGUAAUACGGAGGGUGCAAGCGUUAAUCGGAAUUACUGGGCGUAAAGCGCACGCAGGCGGUCUGUCAAGUCGGAUGUGAAAUCCCCGGGCUCAACCUGGGAACUGCAUUCGAAACUGGCAGGCUAGAGUCUUGUAGAGGGGGGUAGAAUUCCAGGUGUAGCGGUGAAAUGCGUAGAGAUCUGGAGGAAUACCGGUGGCGAAGGCGGCCCCCUGGACAAAGACUGACGCUCAGGUGCGAAAGCGUGGGGAGCAAACAGGAUUAGAUACCCUGGUAGUCCACGCUGUAAACGAUGUCGAUUUGGAGGUUGUGCCCUUGAGGCGUGGCUUCCGGAGCUAACGCGUUAAAUCGACCGCCUGGGGGAGUACGGCCGCAAGGUUAAAACUCAAAUGAAUUGACGGGGGCCCGCACAAGCGGUGGAGCAUGUGGUUUAAUUCGAUGCAACGCGAAGAACCUUACCUGGUCUUGACAUCCACAGAACUUUCCAGAGAUGGAUUGGUGCCUUCGGGAACUGUGAGACAGGUGCUGCAUGGCUGUCGUCAGCUCGUGUUGUGAAAUGUUGGGUUAAGUCCCGCAACGAGCGCAACCCUUAUCCUUUGUUGCCAGCGGUUAGGCCGGGAACUCAAAGGAGACUGCCAGUGAUAAACUGGAGGAAGGUGGGGAUGACGUCAAGUCAUCAUGGCCCUUACGACCAGGGCUACACACGUGCUACAAUGGCAUAUACAAAGAGAAGCGACCUCGCGAGAGCAAGCGGACCUCAUAAAGUAUGUCGUAGUCCGGAUUGGAGUCUGCAACUCGACUCCAUGAAGUCGGAAUCGCUAGUAAUCGUAGAUCAGAAUGCUACGGUGAAUACGUUCCCGGGCCUUGUACACACCGCCCGUCACACCAUGGGAGUGGGUUGCAAAAGAAGUAGGUAGCUUAACCUUCGGGAGGGCGC